CUCUUGGCCGUCGGGACUUGUACUGUUGGUGACUCCGUCUCCUUAGACGGUGGAGCCUGCGUGACCCAGAAAGGCCAAAGGGCACACUAGCCAGCUGUUUUGCCACGAGAGUACACCGAACAAAGGAGACAGGGUUAUUUAUAACCUGACACGUCUACCCUACUGCUGUGUGUGGUUUCCAUUGCCUGGAAUAGGACCUGAAAUUCUGUAUUUGUCCCAACUGGCUAGCAACUUAGAACUUUCUAAAAGAGACAAAAGCAGAGGAGAACAAAGGAAGGAGGCAGUAACUUGUGGAAUGCUGAGAAAGACAGCUGUGCUCCUGAUUCUCAGGCCUCGGGACCCAGACCAGGAUUUCCAUCAGCUCCCCUGGCUCGCAGGCCUUCUGACUUCUGACUCACCAUCAGCUCUCCUGGAUCCAGCUUGCCAAUGGCAGAUCGUGGGACUCCUUGCCCUCUAAUCGCAUGAAACAAUGCCCACAAGAGAAAAUAAAAGCAGUCAGAGGAGAAUGGAGAAUUUCCCCUAUUCCCCAGCAUGUGGAGCCAUGGACUCUGCCUUCUCCCAGUCAAGAUGGGGCAGGUCUCACUAUGUUGCCCAUUCUGGUCUUGAACUCUUGGACUCAAGCAAUCCUCCCACCUCGGACUUCCAAAGUGCUGGAAUCACAGGCUUGAGAUACCAUGCCCAGCCAAUUUAUUGUGGUUAAGUAUAUAUAAUAGAAUUUACCAUUUUAAGUGUUUUCAAGUAUACAAUUCAGGGGCACGAAUUACUUUCACAAUGUUGUCCAACCAUCAACACUGUCCACUUCUAGAAUUUUUCAUCAUUCCAAACAGAAACUGCAUACUCCUUAACCAAUAGCUUCCAUUCUCCCCUGCCCCCCAGCCCCUAGUAGCACCAUUCUACUUUCUGUCUCUGAAUUCGACUACGCUGGGUACCUCUAUAAGUGGAAUCAUGCAGUAUUUAUUCCUUUGUGUCUGGCUUCUUUCACAUAGCAUAAUGUUUUAAAGGUUUGUCUAUAUGGUAGCAUGAGUCAGAAUUUCAUUCCUUUUCAUGGCUGAGUAACAUUCCAUUGUAUGCAUAUAGCACAUUGUAUUUAUCCAUUUCUU
rnacentral:lncRNA from 1 species